AACGAGACGCUUCGGUCGUUCGUACGAAAACAUUGUCGAUUUUGGCUACGUUUCGUUUCAUGCACACUCGUAAUGCGCAUGGCAUAAUCACGUUAUCCGUGUAAUUCCUCAAAUAUUAAAUACGAACGAAAUGAUACAUGUACAACAUGCGCAGCAUGAGUGAAAUGGACCGUAAUCUUUGUUAUUCGUUUUCACGUUCGAAGAUCUGCUGUAACGAUUAAACACUACCUACUUUCUCUCUCUCUCCUGCUCGCCGAUUCGAGGAAACUAUUGUCCGAUUCCAAGAAGGAGGGAUUCCGCGACAGGAAAUUGAAGCGCUCCCAAAACUGAAGAGCGAGCCUUCCACGGGGCUGACUUAACCACGAGGUGAA